GACGAACGCUGGCGGCGUGCUUAACACAUGCAAGUCGAACGGAAAGGCCCUGCUUUUGUGGGGUGCUCGAGUGGCGAACGGGUGAGUAACACGCGAGUAACCUGCCCUUGACUUUGGGAUAACUUCAGGAAAAUGGGGCUAUUAACGGAUAGGAGCUCCUGCUGCAUGGGGGGGGUUGGAAAGUUUCGGCGGUUGGGGAUGGACUCGCGGCUUAUCAGCUUGUUGGUGGGGUAGUGGCUUACCAAGGCUUUGACGGGUAGCCGGCCUGAGAGGGUGACCGGCCACAUUGGGACUGAGAUACGGCCCAGACUCCUACGGGAGGCAGCAGUGGGGAAUAUUGCACAAUGGGCGGAAGCCUGAUGCAGCAACGCCGCGUGCGGGAUGACGGCCUUCGGGUUGUAAACCGCUUUCGCCUGUGACGAAGCGUGAGUGACGGUAAUGAGUAAAGAAGCACCGGCUAACUACGUG
rnacentral:rRNA from 1 species